rnacentral:rRNA from 1 species
CCUACGGGAGACUGCAGUGAGGAAUAUUGGUCAAUGGACGAGAGUCUGAACCAGCCAAGUAGCGUGAAGGAUGACUGCCCUAUGGGUUGUAAACUUCUUUUAUAAAGGAAUAAAACGAGGCACGUGUGCCUUUUUGUAUGUACUUUAUGAAUAAGGAUCGGCUAACUCCGUGCCAGCAGCCGCGGUAAUACGGAGGAUCCGAGCGUUAUCCGGAUUUAUUGGGUUUAAAGGGAGCGUAGAUGGGUUGUUAAGUCAGUUGUGAAAGUUUGCGGCUCAACCGUAAAAUUGCAAUUGAUACUGGCAGUCUUGAGUACAGUAGAGGUGGGCGGAAUUCGUGGUGUAGCGGUGAAAUGCUUAGAUAUCACGAAGAACUCCGAUUGCGAAGGCAGCUUACUAAACUGCCACUGACAUUGAUGCUCGAAAGUGUGGGUAUCAAACAGGAUUAGAUACCCGAGUAGUC